GAUGAACGCUGGCGGCGUGCCUAAUACAUGCAAGUCGAGCGAACAGACGAGUAGCUUGCUCCUCUGACGUUAGCGGCGGACGGGUGAGUAACACGUGGAUAACCUACCUAUAAGACUGGGAUAACUUCGGGAAACCGGAGCUAAUACCGGAUAAUAUAUUGAACCGCAUGGUUCAAUAGUGAAAGACGGUUUUGCUGUCACUUAUAGAUGGAUCCGCGCCGCAUUAGCUAGUUGGUAAGGUAACGGCUUACCAAGGCGACGAUGCGUAGCCGACCUGAGAGGGUGAUAGGCCACACUGGAAGUGAGACACGGUCCAGACUCCGACGGGAGGAAGCAGUAGGGAAUCUUCCGCAAUGGGCGAAAGCCUGACGGAGCAACGCCGCGUGAGUGAUGAAGGUCUUCGGAUCGGAAAACUCUGUUAUUAGGGAAGAACAAAUGUGUAAGUAACUAUGCACGUCUUGACGGUACCUAAUCAGAAAGCCACGGCUAACUACGUG
rnacentral:rRNA from 1 species